rnacentral:rRNA from 1 species
UGCGUAGGCGGUUUAUUAAGUCAGUGGUGAAAGACGGUCGCUCAACGAUUGCAGUGCCAUUGAUACUGGUAGACUUGAGUGUGAUUGAGGUAGCUGGAAUGGAUAGUGUAGCGGUGAAAUGCAUAGAUAUUAUCCAGAACACCGAUUGCGAAGGCAGGUUACUAACAAACGAUUGACGCUGAUGGACGAAAGCGUGGGGAGCGAACAGGAUUAGAUACCCCCGUA